rnacentral:sRNA from 1 species
CGUGCUCAUCGAUGUGGGAACUGGGUACUAUGUAGAGAAGACAGCUGAGGAUGCCAAGGACUUCUUCAAGAGGAAGAUAGAUUUUCUAACCAAGCAGAUGGAGAAAAUCCAACCAGCUCUUCAGGAGAAGCACGCCAUGAAACAGGGUAAGUUUUUUCUGGGGCACCUCUUGACCCUAUCUCCAUAAUAAAGAACAUGGAUUGCAGUGUGAACCACGGGGGUGUCCCCUUUGCUGGAGUAAAACUAUGUCUUAGUUUCUCUUUGGCAUCUUUAGAAUCUGUGUAUUGCAUAAUCACUAUCUGUAGAUUCCUGGGUUGAGCGUUUGAGAAAUUUAGAGGAAGGAAAUCAUGUUUGUGCUUUGGUGGAGCUCCUAUUUAAUGACGAUGGAAUGGGGGAAUGAGAUGAACACACAGGAAGGAAUCAUGAUCCAAACGAACUAAAUACCAGCAAUUAUAACCCCGACUGCACAUGAGAAUCACUCAGG